GAUGAACGCUGGCGGCGUGCCUAAUACAUGCAAGUCGAGCGAACGGACGAGAAGCUUGCUUUUCUGAUGUUAGCGGCGGACGGGUGAGUAACACGUGGAUAACCUACCUAUAAGACUGGGAUAACUUCGGGAAACCGGAGCUAAUACCGGAUAAUAUUUUGAACCGCAUGGUUCAAAAGUGAAAGACGGUCUUGCUGUCACUUAUAGAUGGAUCCGCGCUGCAUUAGCUAGUUGGUAAGGUAACGGCUUACCAAGGCAACGAUGCAUAGCCGACCUGAGAGGGUGAUCGGCCACGCUGGAACUGAGACACGGUCCAGACUCCUACGGGAGGCAGCAGUAGGGAAUCUUCCGCAAUGGGAGAAAGCCUGACGGAGCAACGCCGCGUGAGUGAUGAAGGUCUUCGGAUCGUAAAACUCUGUUAUUAGGGAAGAACAUAUGUGUAAGUAACUGUGCACAUCUUGACGGUACCUAAUCAGAAAGCCACGGCUAACUACGUG
rnacentral:rRNA from 1 species